CAGGAACCUGCUGCACAGCUGGAAGCUGGACAGUACAACAAUAAAGCAUCUCUUCUGCGUGCUUUCAAAAAGUGGGGCCUCAUUAUUCGCUUUUUGGGCGGUGUUCCAAUGCCCACAAGGACCUCGCCUGAAAAGAGGCGUUUGACCUCAAAUAUGUGAAUGCCAUUCUGAGCAUGUGUGGCACACAACAAGGGAUCCUAAUUUGACCACGAC